rnacentral:lncRNA from 1 species
CAGCUGAGUCAGUACUCGGAGAACAAAGCUUUCUUCCAAGUAGUGUCUGUCCCUGGUGCAGCGCGCGAUGAGGCUGGCCAGGUCGCCCCCGUCGCAGUACUCCAUCACGAUGUAGAGGGUGGUGCUGCUCCGGUCGAUGAUGCGGUCGUGGUAGCGGACGAUGUUGGGGUGUCGCAGCUCGCGGAGCAGAUUUACCUCCGAAACGAGCAUCUGCUUCUCCGUCUCCGUCAUGGAGCCGUAGUCGAGUUCCUUCCAUACUAGGAUCUUGCCGUCGGCCUUGCGCCGCACCUUGCGGCACUUGCCGUAGGAGCCGGCGCCGAUGGUGAGCAGCACCUCGUAGUCCUCGGGCCGGCUGGGCAUGGCGCUACCGCACCGCGAGCUACCGGCCACUCGCCGCACCGGCGCGGUUUGAACCCGCCGCCCCUCC